GACGAACGCUGGCGGCGUGCUUAACACAUGCAAGUCGAACGGAAAGGCCCUGCUUGCAGGGUACUCGAGUGGCGAACGGGUGAGUAACACGUGGGUGAUCUGCCCUGCACUUCGGGAUAAGCUUGGGAAACUGGGUCUAAUACCGGAUAGGAGCCAUCUUUAGUGUGGUGGUUGGAAAGUUUUUUCGGUGUAGGAUGAGCUCGCGGCCUAUCAGCUUGUUGGUGGGGUAAUGGCCUACCAAGGCGGCGACGGGUAGCCGGCCUGAGAGGGUGUACGGCCACAUUGGGGCUGAGAUGCGGCCCAGACUCCGACGGGAGGCAGCAGGGGGGAAUAUUGCACAAUGGGCGCAAGCCUGAUGCAGCGACGCCGCGGGGGGGAUGAAGGCCUUCGGGUUGUAAACUCCUUUCGCUAGGGACGAAGCUUUUUUGUGACGGUACCUAGAUAAGAAGCACCGGCUAACUACGU
rnacentral:rRNA from 1 species